GGAACGGGGUGGGGCUUGGCGUUAGUGUUUCCGCUAGAGUUUAGUCUUUGUGUAGGCUUCAUGGUGGGAGAAUUUCCUCCCGGGACAGUAGUAGCAGCGUUUUAGACUGGAAGAAAGCCCAUAAAUUGCCUUUCGGAUCCUAGCCAUCCAGAGGCAUCUUUUAAGAAGUUUCUCUCGGAAUGGGGCCUUCCCAAUCCUGUUAGAGCGCAAUGCCAUACUUUUAGAAGAUGUCAGUACUGUGGAAUGAGAUGGCCAACCAUCAUAUGUAUGCUGCAACUCAGAGAUACAGCUGUGAAUUCUCUGAAUACGGUACUGAUGGCCCUGUCGUCCAAUGCAUCCAGUGUCUGAUUUUCAUCUUGGCCAGCUUUCUACUAUGCCUUAGACAAAACUCAACCAUUCUCUUCCAUGAUGUAGAAUGGCUACUGAAAAGGAAGAAGAAAAGAAAGCUUUCAGAGGACAGUGGUAAACAAAUGCAUUAUGAUUUACUUAACAGGGAACUGUAAGUUUUUUUAUGUCCAAGAACAUCGAACUUGCUUUUUAAAAAUACUUUCUAAAAAUUUUCUUUUCCUUUGUUUCUUUUUCCCCCCCCAGAAGAGCUAUAGAGGUGAGUUGUGUAUUUUUUCUUCUGCUCUUUUUUUUUAAUUGAAAUAUAAUUAACAUACAGUGUUAUGUUAGUUUCAGGUGUACAAUAUAAUGAUGCAACAC